UCUCUCUGUGACGUCGACGGCACAGAAAUUGUUGUUGCCGCUUCAGACACUCUGGCCACGUUUGUGUAAAAGAAGGAGGGACUACACGGUAAAACAAAUACAUCAUUCAAACUGCUCUCCACAACACGUCAAGAUGUUUGUAAACUCUGUCCUACAAUGCCUGUCUGACUGACGGUUUCCAAGUGCUCCCUAUUGCGCGGACAUUCCAUACCUGUAUUUAGAUCGUUCUGAGGCGAGAAGGCUCUUUAGUCAAAGAAGGUUCCCUAACCACGACAUUUGAAGUUAAUCUUUUCAAACUUAGCAAGUUCAACCAACCUGUGGUCAAAAAAUCAACAUGACAUCCAAGAUAAAUUCUGCUGUGUACUUUAGUGCGCCAUCUUCCGUGUCAAGAUGUACAUUUUCUUCACGUAAGAAAUGAACAAGGAAUGGAUUUGGAAAGAUUGUCAUCACUUGUUUUCCCUCCAUAAAUUAUGCAGUUUUUGAGCAGGGGAUACAAUGCGAUUUGUGUCAGCAAGAAGACAUCAUACAG